UUUGUUUUGAAAAGUCGUGUUUAAAUUUGCUCCUGUGAAUUAAUUAAUUAUCUCCCUAAUUAGCCUUUUUCCACACCUAAUUUUAUUAAAAUCGUGAUCCCCACCAUCGAUUGUUCCAAAUAAACCCCGCUCCUCUUAAAAUCAUCUUCCCAGAUCAAAAAUACAAUCCAAAAUGGCGAACCCAUCCUCCACCAACAAUGACAAUGCCUUUGACUAUGCCACACUCAAAGCAUGCAAGGACACUGCUACCAUCAUACCAGCCCUGAAAAAGAUGGAAACAUCAUCAACCCUUUAUCACAUUCGUGACAAUUUGGUCAAAUUUACAGAGGACAUGUUGAACCAUAUGAGCCAAACCAAUAGAAAUAAAAUCAGCAAUCAAACCCAGAACUUCGUAAACUGCAUGCUCACCAUGAUUGAUUAUGCUGCCAAAGAUCAUAACAUUGGUACCCUUAAAGAGACGGAUAUUUCAAAAAUUGCUGAGAACUUGGCUGAGAAGAUGCAAUCAUCCUCGAAAUCAUCAAGCUCAAACAAAAAACCCAAAACAACCAAACCACACAAAUUCAUCAUUAAACCAAAAGACCCAUCAAUAAAUCCUGACAACAUCUACAAUGAAGUAACCAGCAUGGCCAAACAAGAUGCUACUCUCCAAAUUGAUGAGAUUAGGAAAGGUCUUACGGCAGUAAAGAUCUCAUCUCAACAGACUAACACCAAGACAAAGAUACAGGCCCAUCUAAACAACUCUGAAAUUGGAUCGAAAAUAGAAAUGAAAGAUAUUGCGCUGCUUCAACCUCAAAUCUCCGUGAUAAUUCAACAACAUUCCUUAGAGGACAUUGAUACAAUCAAAAAACGCAACAACAUCCCUGAGCAAGAGGACCUUAAAAUAGUGGCCUCAUAUGACAUACAACAGCGAAACAGACCAAACAAGAAAAAACUAAUUAUCCGGCUGAAUCGAAAUGCAAGAAACAUUAUUGAAUCGAGAGGACGUCUCUACAUUGGGAGUGAAAGUGUAAAAAUAAAAGAUAACUUCUACAUUAAAACAUGUUCAAACUGUAUGACCAUUGGCCAUACAGCGAAGUAUUGUACAAACAGCGCAUGCUGUAAAAAUUGUGAACAAGAACACGCUCCUUCCACAUGUAAAGCUGAGCCUUUAAAUCAAUGUUUAUACUGCAAAAAAGCAGGGGAACAAAACAUCGAACACGUGCCAAAAUCGCAAAACUGUAGUGCUUACAAGAUUGCCAUCCAAAACCUAAAAAACAUUACAGACUGGUGCUAUGAAGAUUAAUAUCCUUAAUUUAAACUGUGGAAAAAGUCUCCAUGUAACAUCUCUCGCUAUUGAUGAAGUGCCAAACAAAUAUGAUGUUGCUCUUUUACAAGAACAAAACGACUUACCUGUUUCCUCAAUCAACAACCAUCACAUCCAAGCCAUCCAAUGCAACCGAUCGACGAUAAUCACUCUUCGUAAAGCGGUCAAUAAAACGUUCAAAAUUCUUCCAGACUCCGUAGCAGCAAUCAUUAGCCACAAGGGACACAAACUCCUGAUUUUCUCAGUUUAUUUCUCUCCUCAAACAACGUUCUGUGAAUUAGAAAAAUCAACCACCUCCAUCCAGAAAAUUAUCGCCAGCAACAACAACUUACCAAUUAUCAUUGGAGGCGAUGUAAACAAUGUUCAUCCGACUUGGUCUUAUAACACCUAUGAAAGAAGCCUUGGCGGCGGCAAACUCAUUUAUAACAUGCUUAAAGACCACAACAUCAACAUCCUCAACUCACCAUCCCCAUUAAACUGGACCUUUAAGAGAGGCAACACAAAUCCUCAAUGGAUCGAUCUACUGGCAACAAACCUUCAACAACACUAUGCUGCUUUUAACCACUCCACGGAAGUAAAUGCCCUCAACAACAACGACCAUAAUUCAAUAACCACCACAAUCACCUUCGAAAAUAGAAUUAAACAACAUGACCACACAACUAUCUUCCAGCACUCCAAAUACUUAAAUCUGAUUCAUCACAAACUACUCACAACAAACAUAAAAAACAUUCAAGACAUCAACGAUCUUUUCUGGGAUAUCUUGAAAACAAAAGUUCAGACCUACCAAAACCCUGAUUUCUGGAAAAUCAAACACAAAUCCAGCUGGAAAAAUAAAGUAAUUGACCCAAAGAUAUCAUCCACCUUAAAGAACAUGACAAAACUUCACCAAAAAGAUUCAUCACAAGAAGAUGAAUAUCUAGCUGUCAAACGCAUUCUUGUUAAAAAAAUGUACAAAAAUAUCAAAGAUUUCUUUGAUGAAACCAAAGAAACCAAAGAACUCUGGAAAAAGAUAAACUACUUCAUCUCAGACCACGACCAACAACUUGAAACCAUCUACUUUGAAAAUCUGGCAAAUGUAUCCAAAGAUUUCAAUUUAGAUCUCGAAAACUUACCGAUGACAACAACUUUCCCACAACAACAAAACAACAAAACCAUCGAUAUUGACACAUUAAAAAGACAUAUUUUAAAACUCAACAAAUCUGCUGCUCCUGGUCUUGAUGGCGUCCCUCUACACCUCAUCAACAAACUCACAGAAGAGAUACCGGACAAGCUGACCACAAUUUACUCCAUUCUCCUACAACAUAACUUUCUUCCUGAUUCAUGGAAAAUAUCAUCAACCAUUUUCAUCCCCAAAAGCGAUGGGAAAAGACCCAGACCUAUCUCUCUUCAAUCGAACUUCUCCAAGAUAUUAGAAUCCAUCAUCUUGGAUGACUUAAACACUCAUAUUCCUCCAACCUUCUUCAAAAACCAACAUGCUUUCCAGAAAAACAAAAGCAUAAACUCAGCAUUAACUGAAAUGCACGACAACAUCUCAAUUUUCAAACCCGAUUCACCAUCAAUUUUCCUAGUUGACAUAGAGUCAGCUUUCGAUAAAAUAUCCCAUGAAGCCAUCUUGAAGGAAUUACACAAAAUUAGAAUCCCCAAAGACACCGAACAACUUAUACAAAACUACCUAUCUCCUCGAUUUAUGGCAAUCCUAGAUAAAAACCAAAUAAAAAUCAAGCAAACAAACGAUGGCGUUCCACAGGGCUCCAUUCUUGGCCCAUACCUCUUUACAGUAGGAAUCCAACGCAUAAUUAAUCACCUCAACAACGAAACUCUCCAACAACCCCCAAUCUUUAAAAACAAACGCGCGAUUCAUGACCCGUCAGCCUUAACGCUUAGAGUCACUGCAUAUGCAGAUGAUCUCGUUAUCAUACCGACCCCCAGACUUGGUGAUAAAUCUGACCAUGCAGCAAUGUGCACCUCUGUUAUCAUGAGAAAAUUACUCGAACUACUAAAACAAUCAACUCUCAAUCUACCACAAAAAUCCAACUAAUAGUGUCUAGAAAAUUACUCCCAAAAUUAAAUCAAUUGGCUCCUUUAAAAUUAAUACGAGUGAUAGGGGAAAGAUCCUAGGUAUCACCUACCUUCUCGGUAUCAAUCACCCUUUCAACAUUGAUUCCUUGAUCGACAAAAUUAACAUCACUACCAACAAAAUACUAACAAGUAACCCCAAAAUUAUUCACAUUCCUUUCAAAACACUAACACUCAUAACCACAUCCAAAGUUGAAUCCAUCCCUCUAACAUACAGCGAAGUCUUACUACAAGUGCUACUAGACUCAAUCCACGAAAGAAACAAACUGGAAUAUGCCAUCAUCAUAUCAUCCGUAAAUAUAUCGGAAUAUAUCCGUAAAUAUAUCCGAAUAUAUCAUCCGUAAAGCCACAAACUAUGACUGGAAAAUCAAUUCCCUUACAACAUGUUCAAUAAUAGGCAGAUUACCUAUUUGGGCUCGUAUAAUCAAAGUCAACCUCACCAACAGGUACGCCAAGUACAUCCAAAAUCUUGACUUUCAAGAAAACACAAACUUCUUCAACCAAUAUCCAAACCUGGCACCUAGCAUAACCAACAACCAAAUCUGGUGGGGAUGCAAACAAAUUAUCAACAAUAAUAUUCUCAACCUCAUUGAUCAACAAUGGCAAAAAGAAGAUCCAGCAAAUAGAUUACUUCUUGGAAAAUGGAAACCUCUCAAAAUCCGAGAAAAGAUCGAUAAACAUACUGCCCUACUACUUGGUAAAUUUAACUUCAUGCUGACCUCAUCAUCUUGUAUAUGUGGAGCUAAAAUAAACGACCCAAUACACUGGAUCGUCCAAUGCCCAACAGUCGACAUGGAACGAUACAUUACACUAGAUAACCUUAGCAUAGAUAUCACUGACAUUAUCCCAACUUUCCUUAAACCCAAUUCAUCUCACCUAUUUUAUGACCUUUUUGAGGCUACAUUUGAAACACACAUCCUUCCCCAUCUCAAGAUAUACAAGCAAACAAAACUAUCCAAAACAAAACCUCAAAGCAACAUCACAACACAAGAAUAAGACAACAAACCCUUUCUUUACACAAUAACCACUCGACCAGACUUUCACGUACAUAAACUUUCAUAUCUAUAACUUUGUAUUUCAUCAACGGGAAUGCGAAAAUUAAGCAUCCCUUCUUGUACCAAUGUAACAUGCGCAUUAAACUGUUUACAAUUUUUCAAAAAGAUCCAAAACAUGUGUUAGGUUGAGUUUCUUUGAAUAUUUUGUGUUAAUUUGUUUUCUUCUUAAUUAUAUUGUUAAAUUAUUUUCUUUUUGUCAUGGAUGCCACUGGUAGAAAGGACGUUAUGUUGCCACAACAAAUAUCGUUGAUUGGUAUGAUCCAGUCCAGAUGUUCUGAGAUAAAUCAACUCAUAAAUGAUAUCACUAGUCGCUCACCUAAACUUGCUUCGCAAAGGCUUCCGAUUCAUAUGAGGCGACGAGCUGCAUCUCAUAAUAUCAAUCGUUUACCCUCAAAGGCUCGUAAAUUAAUGAGUAAAAGGAAUCAGGGACAAAAAUCUGGAGAAGUGCCAGAGAAGAAGAAAAAGAAGCAGCGUAAAAGUAAGAAAGCUGUUGUUAUUUCUCAAACGAAAAGAGAAGCUAAACCUGAUCGAACAUUGCUUCAUUUGUGGUUCGUGAAACGAUUUAAAAUGCUGAAAGUGUUCAAUUCUACUUUACCAUCUCAUAACAACACUAAAAAUCAACGUAAAAUUCAUAAAAAUUCAAAAGACGACUGCAUUCAUUUUUAUCUAGCUCAAUUCAAGUGUAUAAUUAUCAAGAUCGAGGAUCUUAAUUCACUUAGCCUGAAGUUAAAUACAAUGACUGGUGGGGAUCUGCAUCAGUUUUUCACAGAAACUUCGGAAGUUGGGUCCAGAAAUGUCCAUUUUUACGAAAACAACGAUCAUAAUACCGAAAUUAUUGGACCUGUGAAAUUGAUUUAUAUCAAAUCUGUUAAUUUGUUACUCAUCUGGAGCCAUAUUCUUAUUCAUGAUAAAAUUUUGUCAGUUUCACUCGAAAUUUUCAAGGAUUCCUCGAAUGUUCCUAUGAAUGGAGAAAAGACGUAUCAAAAUUUCUGUCUGUUUGGAGCUAAAUCUUUGAUUCAUUUAAAAAACGUUUUAGGACAAAGCAGCUCCUUUUUACCAGAUCACUUUGUGGAAGGAAUCUUUUGGAAUCCAAAUUGGAGCUUUCCUAGUAAAGCAAAUACCGUUCGUGAAUCUACCAUGAGCUUAAAUGAUUUUAAUGGUCAAAAAAUUUUCUUGGCUCAGCUGAAAAAGUAUAAAAAUAGGGAAGCAAUAAUUUUAACAGUGCCAUUUUGUGACUCGAAAAAUUUCUGGAACGAAUUGGUCAGGAAUCGAUCUCAUUUAGUAGGUGGGCUACGAGAUUUACAGACUUUAUUCUGUGAAACAAGCUAUUUGAAUUUUCCAUCAACCGGAUACCUUGACUUAUCGUUAGAAUCUAAUCCGGAUCGUCAAUCUUGGUCCAAAAUAAUGAUGAUUAAUGCUCAAACGGACGAUUAUUUUUUACUGCGAGAUAUUCCUACAAUUAACAUUAUUAAAAACAGUCUUUCUCAAGAAAAGGUUGACCAUUUACUCCAAUCUAUUCCAAAGCUGAAACAAAGUUAUUUAUAUGUUGAAAUUGUCUGUCUUAACCGAGGUGUGCCUUCAAAAGGUGAUAUCAUUUGUCUUCCUUCAGAAGAUGAUGUAAAUAAAUAUUUCGGACGUGAGAAGAUUGAUAUAAAAUUAUCUCAAAUUGGAUAUGGACCUGAAGAGUCAAUCAAAACAUUUAAGUGUUCAGCAUUAGAGAAAUCAAGCCGCAAAGUAAUUGGACUUGUUGAAUAUGGACAUUUCUCAUACGAUGACGGUGUUGGAAAAGGACUGGCAGCAAUAACUAUAUCUUCUUUACCUGACCUGAUAAAGCUCAGAAAAACUGAACUUCUGGCUUUAACCCGUUCACAAAAAUCUCCAACUUUUAGAUUUGUUAAAAUAUUGAUUGAUAUUUUUUUAGAUUUUUAAAUGACGGUAUGAAGUCUUGCAAUGAUAAUAUUUUGACCAAAGAACAUUCUUCCAUUUACAAAACGUGUGAAUAAAAAUUUGUUGCA